rnacentral:rRNA from 1 species
GAUCAUGGCUCAGGAUGAACGCUGGCGGCGUGCUUAACACAUGCAAGUCGAACGAAACACCUUAUUUGAUUUUCUUCGGAACUGAAGAUUUGGUGAUUGAGUGGCGGACGGGUGAGUAACGCGUGGGUAACCUACCCUGUACAGGGGGAUAACAGUCAGAAAUGACUGCUAAUACCGCAUAAGACCACAGCACCGCAUGGUGCAGGGGUAAAACUCCGGUGGUACAGGAUGGACCCGCGUCUGAUUAG